ACGAAACGCGGGAGGCAGUACUACUUCAUGCAAGUCACACAAGCACAACCGGAGCAUACACAGGACAUCCAGCAGGCGACAGGGUGAGUACCACGCAGGUAACAUGCCCAUCAGAGGGGGAUAACAUCGGAAAACGGAUGUAAACACGCAUAGGUCUUCGACCCGCAUCGUUUGCAGAGGCAAAGAGCAGCAAGCCUAUGCUGACGGAUGGACCCGCGGUGCCUCAGCUAGUUGGUGAGGUAACGGCUCAACACGGCCCUGAUGCAUAGCAGACCUGAGAGGGUGAUCGGCCACAUUGGGACUGAGACACGGCCCAAACUCCUACGGGAGGCAGCAGUAGGGAAUCUUCCGCAAUGGACGCAAGUCUGACGGAGCAACGCCGCGUGAGUGAAGAAGGUUUUCGGAUCGUAAAACUCUGUUGUUAGAGAAGAACAAGUGCUAGAGUAACUGUUAGCGCCUUGACGGUAUCUAACCAGAAAGCCACGGCUAACUACGUGCCAGCAGCCGCGGUAAUACGUAGGUGGCAAGCGUUGUCCGGAUUUAUUGGGCGUAAAGCGAGCGCAGGCGGUUCCUUAAGUCUGAUGUGAAAGCCCCCGGCUCAACCGGGGAGGGUCAUUGGAAACUGGGGAACUUGAGUGCAGAAGAGGAGAGUGGAAUUCCAUGUGUAGCGGUGAAAUGCGUAGAUAUAUGGAGGAACAUCAGUGGCGAAGGCGACUCUCUGGUCUGUAACUGACGCUGAGGCUCGAAAGCGUGGGUAGCAAACAGG
rnacentral:rRNA from 1 species